GCGGGAGUAGCUCAGGUGUAGAGCAUCAGCUUCCCAAGCUGAGGGUCGCGGGUUCGACCCCCGUUUCCCGCU
rnacentral:tRNA from 1 species